rnacentral:tRNA from 1 species
GGGGAUGUAGCUCAACUGGGAGAGCACUGGCUUUGCAAGCCAGGGGUUGCCGGUUCAAGCCCGGUCAUCUCCACCA